rnacentral:lncRNA from 1 species
AAGAAUAGCCAACAAAGAUGCUUCGUGGACUAUCCUAAAGUGUACAUUCUUUUGGGAAUCAAUGAAGCAUAUGGCCCUUUUCUAGAGGAUUGAUGACUCAGUUCAUUCCAAUAAAAAGCUCUUUCUUUGGGUUAAGAAUCUCAUCAAUAUUAAAGGUAACCUUUAUAUCCCUUGUGUAUUUAUAGUAAGUAUAUAUGGAGACAAAUUCAGAAUAUAUUCAACAACAAUAAUAACAUAAGUAGGGUUUGGGGAGGGUAAAGUGUAUCAAUCUACUCCACCACUUCAAGUGAAGUAGAGAAACUAUUUUCGAUAAAUUUCGGUUCAGAACAUAUAACAGUAUAACAAGCAAAAAAUAAAAUAAAAGCACACAACAAAAUGGAAUAAUAAUAAAGGAAAUAAGAUAUCCACAAAGUAAUUCUAUAAACUAUCUAUCCAAAAUCAUAGAUAUCACUGAAACGCCAUAAACAAGAAAUUCCAAACGUUGUGAGUUCAAACUGAAUCUUUAUUGCAAUUUAUGUGAAUUUUUACAAACAAAUUAUUUCACAUUGAAAAUAUUGGGUUCAGAUUAACCGCGACUAAAUAGCUAUAUCCGCCUUCAAUUAGUAUUUAUAUCAAUUGUAAUAGUGGUCACAACUUAAUUUCUGUUCGAACUCAUAUGGAAAAGAAAUAUAUUUACUUUAUUUAAUAAUAAAUCGUACCCUGAAUCAGAUCACAUUCAGUUUGAAAGAGAAGCUUCAUCUAAAAUGUUGAUUAAAAUGAGUUUAAUCAUCUUAAAAGAUGGAUGAAGUAGAUCAGAUACUUAUCUUGGGAGUGUAAAAUUGACGCAAUAGGGUUGGACCACAAAAAUGUAACAACACAUGGCUAAUGUUUUAGUUGACGUAGACCCAUAAUGAUCAACAAAAGUCUGCCAUUUUGGUUACCUAUUUUUGAUUGGUGGUACCAAUAAGACGGGCAUUGACUGGAAAUAUUACUUUUUUUUUUUGAACAACAUAAAUUUGACAAUUUAAAACUUAAUAACAAAAAUUUUUAAUAUUUUAUAUAACUAAUAAAAGUUUCAAUUUUGAAUUUAUCGAGAUACAUAAUUAAUUUUCGAUACAUCCAACGAAAAUAUAUUUUUUCCUUUAUAAAGAUACAUAAUUAGCUUUCGGUAUACUUUUUUAAAAAAAAAAUCUGUCGAGAUAUAGAAUUAGCUCUCGAUACGUCCAACGAAAAUACAUAAUUAAUUGAAAUUUUUAUAAUUACUUUUUAUGGGACGAAAUCUAUGUAAAUAUGAUAAGUUAAGGUAUAUGCUUAUGUUGAUUUUUCUAUUUAUUUAUCUUUUUUUUUUUUCUUUUUUUAAUCUUCGUGUAUUAAUGCAAGUUGUCGCAUUUUUUGGGUUAAGAUUUUACUUUUCUUACCAUAAAUAAAUUAUACGAGGAAUAGACAAUUGGAAGAUGCUGUAAUUCUCGAUUCUCAUUCUCGUUACUAAAUUGUUAGUGACAGUUCUACUGAAAAAAGGAUGCAAAACAAAAGGAAGGGCCAAUUGAUCAAUUGGUAUUUUUAACAAUGUAAUGUGAUCUGUCCAAAAAAGAAAGAAAAAAAAGAAACGGCUUAUGAAAGAAUUUAUCAAAAAUAAAUGAUUACUGAAGGGUGACCAAUAAGAAAAAUAGAAAAUGGUCAAAAGUCCAAACCUUUAUCCCAAAUCUCAAUUACACACUUAUACUUUGUGAGGGUUCUAUGACCCCCCCGAACUAUUUUAAAAUAGAAUUAUUAUCUCCCAAACUAUUUUAAAGUAGAAUAUAUACCCGUCUAAAAGCUCAUACCCAGAUUUUAUUUUAGCGAUGCCACAUAAUUCCACGUCAUACUUUUCUUCGGCAUAGUAAAUCAUAUGAAAUUCACACCAUAGGUAAUCUUAUCAAAAUCAAAUUAACAAUUAAUGUCCAAAAAAUAUUCAAUUUUCAUAAAAUGGCGUCAAUCAAUUUUCAAAAAAUAGUCACUAUUUAUCUGUAAUUAGAACAAAAUCCUUAUUUGGACUAACUUAGUCUUUACAUAUACUCCAUGUCAUGCUGCUAAUUACCUGUUUCAAGUAAAUAAUCAAUUAAGUCGCAGGGCCAAAUUCAUCCAUCAUAUCCAUAAAUCAAUUUCUAGUUAUCAAGAGAAUUAUUUUAAUAGAAAAUGGAUGGACAAACACUUAAACACACACCUUUUCCUUUUGCUCUCAUCGUGGAAUUCUCAGGAUCCAACAUAUAUACUAAACUUUGUAUGUCAGGUUCCUUAAUGUUGUCAUAGCCCGAAUUUGUUUUUUUGAUGCAUUUCAGCAUUCUCAACGUCAAUCAAUUUUUCGAGAGCUAAGAAAUGAUUCUAACUCAGAAAUUAAUUCGAAUUUCUCAAUCUGAAUUGAUUCAACAUUCUCAACAUCAAUCUGAACUAGUUCUAUAAAAUCGGAACAUGCCGAUUUUGUGCUUGGAGGUGAGGAAGAUGAUAAAUUAAUCUUUAAUACCAUUGAUGAGUUCUCGGAUGUCAUUGUAGAAGAAGAAGAAAAAUAGUAAUUAAAAUUACACAUAUUUAUUUAAAGAAAUAUUAAAAAUAAUUUUUCUCUUGUCAUGUCAGCGUUGAGGUAGUGAAAUUUGGGAUAAAGAUUGGGGGUGGGUGUUGAUUAUUUUCUCAUAAGAAAAACACAGUUUUUCUCACAAUAAAAAACUUGUACGGCUAGUUAUCAAGCAAGGAUUUGAAUUUUAUGGAUUUGAAAUUGUAAUUAUUAUUUUUUUAAGUAAUUAAGUUCUACUUUAAUAAUCUAUACAUUUUAAAUGAAUUCUUUUUACGAUGAACAUAAAAUAUAAAUCAAAGCUACUGUAUUCAUUGGAUCUAUAUUUCAGCUCCUUUCGACUGUCAGGAGCAGACCUAUGUGUAAAUUUGUGGUGCUUUGACAUUCGUUAAAUUCAAUCAUUAGGUAUAAUUAUAUAGAAAAUGUAUAAAAAUUGGUAUAGAAUGCAAAAAAACACCCAUGAAAACCUGAAUAUAGCUGAGUGUAUGAUUUUCAGGCGGAACCUUACAACUUUAGGUGACAAUAUGUAUGUUUGAACUUUCCGAACACCCAGGAACCUUAAAAUCCUGGGUCCGCCAUUACUAUACUGUUUUAUACAACACAGGGCCUCAACAUGAUGGCUCUAUUUUACUUGGUGAGAUUUGAUUCAACAAAAUAAUUCAGAGCAAAUUUAGAUGAAUAGUUUUAAAAAUAACGACUCUAGAUAAUUUAUGUUACCGUAUACAUUUAAAAAGGUAUUAAUUGAUUAAUCAACUUCGAAUGAUUCUUAUUGUCCUUUCACCUUUUUAGAAUUGAGUUCUAAGAAAGACAUGAUAAAUUGUGUUAAUCAUAGUCAACAGCAGUAAAAUAUUUGUCAAAAGUCAAAACGAUGAUCAAAGCUAAAUAAACUACUAGCGUAGAACUACUAUACACUAUAAACAACCUUGUCGGAUUUAAUAAUUCCACACAUCAAAAAAAUAAUAUUAUGUGUGUGUUAUGAAUCAAUUAUCCCACAUUGCAAAAAUAGAGAAAUGUUAAGGGGGAUUAUAAGUCAAAUGAGUUUUCCCACCUAUUUGACUAGUCUUUUGGAUUGGGCUCUCCCGUUUGGUUUAUAACAUUGGUGCUUUCAUUGAGAGUUCCACGCAUUGAGCCAUGACUCGAAGUGAUGGCCUGCGCGCUAGGAGUGGUGGCCUGAACCCAAGAGGGACGCAUGGAGCCACGACUCGGAAUGGUGGCUUGGACCUAAGAGGGGUGUCAGCCGUGACCAACAAGACCGUUGGUUCUCAAGCGGAGGCGAUUGUUACGAACCAAUUAUCGAUUAUAAACCAAAUGGGUUCUCCCACCUAUUAGACUAGUCUUUUGAAUUUGACUCUCCUAUAAGUCAAAUGGAUUCUCCCAAAUGGUUUAUAACAGUGUGUUCAAUGUUUAAGUCUGUCUAUUGUUAGUAAUAAUAUUUAUUUAAAGCAUCUUAUUUUAGUGGAAAGAAUAUUUUUUUACUAUAAUGUUUGUGUCCAACUCAGCUUACUUAUCUUAAUUUGUUUAGCGAAUAACUAAGCAAUUUUGUCAAUCCAAAUUUAGGCAGGUAAGUCUACCUAAUAUUUUUUGCAAUUUCAAAUUUGCACUUCAGUCUCUUACACAUAUUUAUCCCACUCCAUUAUUCUAGCAAAAAGAAUAUAAUUAUCGGGAUUCUUAUCUUGUAUAAUUUGUUUAUUUCUUUAUUUAGGUGGUCUUGGACAAGAAUAAGGGUUCUGCUUUUGCAUUGUUUUGUGUUUAUGUUCUUUUUAUUUGUUUGCAGUGAGUGUUUGCGGGAUUUGGGCCACAGGUGACAAAAGAGUUUUAAAAUGAGGUGUAUGUGACAAGUCUUAAUAAUAGAGUAGAGGUGACAAUUACUUCAUUAUGGUUUAAGAAAGUUUGAAAAAUUUCAAAAUAACUCAUAAAUUUUUAAAUUUACACUUUGAUUCAAAUGUUAGUUAAUAUAUAACGGAGAACGAAGGGAAAAAAUAUGUCUUUUUCUCUCUCCUCAUCCAUUGUUAUUUUCUCUCUCUUCGCGAUAUUUGUUGUUCAUUGUUACUGCUGUUUUAUUCAUCAUCUUCUGAUUCAUUAUCAUCAUCUUAUACUUCAUUAUUAACUUCAUAUUCUUCUUGUUGACCAUUGUUGUUGUUGUUGUUGUUACCCCAACUGCUGCUCUUUGACCAAAUUCUUAUGUCAAAUUUUAUUUUCGUAAAUCACUUUCAACUUUGAAAUUUACUUGAGAGGAGACAUUGGUAAGUCAGAUUAUGCUUUUUAGUUGAAUCUGGGUAACUGCUAGUGUGUUGUAUUUUCAACAAUAGUUUGCACGUGAACAUGAAUGCAAUACAAGAGCAAUCUGUUUAAACAAAUUCAUUAUCUGUGGCACUAGAUAAAUGUUCUGUUGUAACAGUAGACUCAUGUUGGAUUCAUGUUUAAGGGUUCUAGGUGCCCGUAAUAUGAUUAUGAAUCGAAUAGAUGGGUAUUCUAUUGCACCAGAUUAGUAAUCUGUUUCAACAGAUAAAUAGUCUGUUUCAUCAGAUUACUAAUAUGUUUCGAACAACAAAAUACAGCUCCUGUCAUACACAAAACCUAACAAAUAACUCAUAUGUUCUUGCUAUUGAUACUGGAAUCAAAUUAUUCCUUAAUUGUAGACAUGUCAUUCGUUAAGAAAUAGAAAUAGACAGCACAAAAAUUAAAUAAGAAAUAAAAUGUCAAGUGCAUCAAACAUAAUUUUUUAUAAAAAAAAAACCAUAGAUAACAGAAAAAAAAAGCUUAAUUAUUAUUAUCAUCAUUAUUAACAUCAUUAUUAUUUGUAUGGCCAGCCGUCCAAUCUUUAAAGGGCAGCAGCAGCGCCCUCCGCAGCCUGUGGAUCUCCCGUAGCAUCCUUACUCUGACGGCGGCCAACUCCUAAUGCGGGUCAUGAAUAUCCUUCUGCAGUUCCCUCAUGGCGUCUCGUAAAAUAGCGACAUCCCACACAGGAUCAAUCAUAUCUAAAAAAUGCAUAAGUUGACAAAACACACACGUAAAUAUAAAAGUAAAGAAAAGAAAAAAUUCGAAUGUAAUGUAAUGUAAUACAACGUAUAUUUACACAAAAAUCAAGAAAAAAACUUAACAGAGACAGGAAAAAGCUAUCAAGUCCUUGAAGAGAAAGUAGUUGAAGGUGUAACAAGAGCGAGG